ensembl:snoRNA LOC120100354 small nucleolar RNA SNORA36 family
CUCCAAAGUGUUGAGUUCAGUUCAGGGCAAUUUCCCUGUUCUGUUAAUUAAACUUUGGGACAUUGAAAUUGGCUGAGGGAAAUAACUGAAUAGAGAAUAUUACUCUAUUCAUAUACUUCUAGCCUACACAA